UGCAAGUCGAGCGGUAGAGAGGUGCUUGCACCUCUUGAGAGCGGCGGACGGGUGAGUAAUGCCUAGGAAUCUGCCUGGUAGUGGGGGAUAACGCUCGGAAACGGACGCUAAUACCGCAUACGUCCUACGGGAGAAAGCAGGGGACCUUCGGGCCUUGCGCUAUCAGAUGAGCCUAGGUCGGAUUAGCUAGUUGGUGAGGUAAUGGCUCACCAAGGCGACGAUCCGUAACUGGUCUGAGAGGAUGAUCAGUCACACUGGAACUGAGACACGGUCCAGACUCCUACGGGAGGCAGCAGUGGGGAAUAUUGGACAAUGGGCGAAAGCCUGAUCCAGCCAUGCCGCGUGUGUGAAGAAGGUCUUCGGAUUGUAAAGCACUUUAAGUUGGGAGGAAGGGCCAUUACCUAAUACGUGAUGGUUUUGACGUUACCGACAGAAUAAGCACCGGCUAACUCUGUGCCAGCAGCCGCGGUAAUACAGAGGGUGCAAGCGUUAAUCGGAAUUACUGGGCGUAAAGCGCGCGUAGGUGGUUCGUUAAGUUGGAUGUGAAAGCCCCGGGCUCAACCUGGGAACUGCAUUCAAAACUGUCGAGCUAGAGUAUGGUAGAGGGUGGUGGAAUUUCCUGUGUAGCGGUGAAAUGCGUAUAUAUAGGAAGGAACACCAGUGGCGAAAGCGACCACCUGGACUGAUACUGACUCUGAGGUGCGAAAGCGUGGGGAGCAAACAGGAUUAGAGACCCCGGUAGUCCACGCCGUAAAUCAUGUCAACUAACCGUUGGGAGCCUUGAGCUCUUAUUGGCCCCCCCUCACGCAUUAAUUUGACCGCCUGGGGAGUACGGCCGCCCCGCUAAAACUCAAAUGAAUU
rnacentral:rRNA from 1 species